UACGGAGGGAGCUAGCGUUGUUCGGAAUUACUGGGCGUAAAGAGCGUGUAGGCGGCCAGGUAGGUCUGCUGUGAAAACUCGAGGCUCAACCUCGAGACGUCGGCGGAAACCAUCUGGCUAGAGUCCGGAAGAGGAGAGUGGAAUUCCUGGUGUAGCGGUGAAAUGCGCAGAUAUCAGGAAGAACACCCGUGGCGAAGGCGGCUCUCUGGGACGGUACUGACGCUGAGACGCGAAAGCGUGGGGAGCGAACAGG
rnacentral:rRNA from 1 species